rnacentral:rRNA from 1 species
GAUGAACGCUGGCGGCGUGCCUAAUACAUGCAAGUCGAGCGAACAGACGAGGAGCUUGCUCCUCUGACGUUAGCGGCGGACGGGUGAGUAACACGUGGAUAACCUACCUAUAAGACUGGGAUAACUUCGGGAAACCGGAGCUAAUACCGGAUAAUAUAUUGCACCGCAUGGUUCAAUAGUGAAAGACGGUUUUGCUGUCACUUAUAGAUGGAUCCGCGCCGCAUUAGCUAGUUGGUAAGGUAACGGCUUACCAAGGCGACGAUGCGUAGCCGACCUGAGAGGGUGAUCGGACACACUGGAACUGAGACACGGUCCAGACUCCGACGGGAGGCAGCAGUAGGGAAUCUUACGCAAUGGGCGAAAGGCUGACGGAGCAAAGCCGCGUGAGUGAUGAAGGUCUUCGGAUCGUAAAGCGCUGUUAUUAGGGAAGAACAAAUGUGUAAGUAACUAUGAACGUAUUGACGGUACCGAAUCAGAAAGCCACGGCUAACUACGUG